rnacentral:lncRNA from 1 species
UCCGAUUGGCGAAACGGAAGGGGGCGGAGCGAAACAACCGCAUUGGCGGCCGGGAGGGAGCGGAAGCGGCGGGGGAGGGACUUCCGGCGGCAAGAUGUCGGCGCUGGGGAGGGCGAUUCGGUCGUGGCGGGGUCCGUGGGGAGCGCGGGGGAGGAGCGCGGGAAGCGGAGCCGUCGUGGCGGCGCCGCGGGAAACGAUCGGAGCGCAUCGGGAGGAGGAAACGUGGGAGGAGGCGCAGCGGAAGGUGGGCGGGGCCUGGAGGAGGGGGCGGGGCCUGAGGGUGGCCUAUUGAAGGGGGCGUGGUAUUGGGAAGGGGCGGGCCUGAGGGAAGGGGGCGUGGUCUGUGGAAGGGGCGGGGCCUGUGGGGGCUAUGCGCGGGAGGGGGCGGGAUCUGCGAGGUGAUUGGCUGCGAAGGGGUGGUAUGAUAAUGAGGGGGCGGGGCGUCGGGUGGCUGCUGUUGGGCUAUGGGGCCCGGCCCAGUGCCUCCCAGUUCAUCCCAGUAACUCCCAGCGCCCUCCCAGUAUGGGCUCACAUCCCCCAUUCCUGCUCCCAGUGCUUCCCAGUUCAUCCCAGUAAGUCCCAGUGCCCUCCCAGUAUGGGCUCACAUCUCUCAUUCCUGCUCCCAGUGCCUCCCAGUUUAUCCCAGUAACUCCCAGUUCAUCCCAGUGCAUCCCAGUUCACCCCAGUUCAUCCCAGUAACUCUGAGUGCCCUCCCAGUAUGGCCUCACAUCCCCCAUUCCUGCUCCCAGUUCAUCCCAGUAACUCCCAGUUCAUCCCAGUGCCUCCCAGUGCCUCCCAGUGCCUCCCAGUUCAUCCCAGUUCCUCCCAGUGUCCUCCCAGUAUGGGCUCACAUCCCUCAUUCCUGCUCCCAGUCCCUCCCAGUUCAUCCCAGUUCAUCCCAGUAUCUCCCAGUGCCCUCCUAGUAAGGCCACACAUCCCCUAUCCCUGCUCCCAGUCUCUCCCAGUUCAUCCCAGUUCAUCCCAGUAUCUCCCAGUUCCUCCCAGUGCAUUCCCAGUAAGGCCCUACAUGCCCAAUCCCUGCUCCCAGUUCAUCCCGGUGUCUCCCAGUUCAUCCCAAUUCAUCCUAGUCCCUCCCAGUGCUUCCCAGUACCAUCCCAGUGCCCUCCCAGUAAGGCCCUACAUCCCCAAUCCUGGCUCCCAGUUCAUCCCAGUUCAUCCCAGUGCAUCCCAGUGCAUCCCAGUGCCUCCCAGUAUGGGUUCACAGCCCCCAUUCCUGCUUCCAGUCCCUCUCAGUGUCUCCCAGUUCAUCCCAGUACCUUCCAGUGCCCCCCAGUCCAUCCCAGUUGCUCUCAAUUCCCUCCCAGUUCACCCCAGUUCCAUCCCAGUUCCCACCCAGUCCCUCCCAGUUACCCCCAAUUCCCUCCCAGUCCGCCCCAGUUCCCUCCCAGUCCACCCCAGUUCCAUUCCAGUUCCAUCCCAGUCCACCCCAGUUCCCACCCAGUUCCUCCCAGUUCCAUUCCAGUUCCCUCCCAGUCCCUCCCAGUUCUCCCCAUUGCCCAGACUGACACCGAGGGGCGUGGCCAAAUGAAAGGGGGCGUGGCUUAAGGAAAGGGGGCGUGGCCUAAGACAGAAGGGCGGAGCCUAAGGCCACCCUAACCAAUGAGGGGCGGAGUCUAAUACACCAAGGGGGCGUGGUCAUAAGAAGGGGGCGUGGCCAACUGACACUGGGCGGUGCUCAGUGAUUGGGUGGGGUCCGAAUGAGGGGCGUGGUCACAGCGUGUGGGCGGGGCUAAAGGGUGUGGGCGGGGCUUAAUGGGAAGACAUUUGGGGGGGUUACGUUGCGUUUUUGUAACUUUUCCCUUUUAAUUUUUUUAUUCUUUCCUUUUUUCUUCUUUUUCUGCCAUCAUUUUCUUCCACCUCUUUUCCCAUUUUGUUAUUUUGUCUGCUGGUUUUGUUUUUUG